rnacentral:misc_RNA from 1 species
GUGAAUCAUCGAAUCUUUGAACGCACAUUGCGCCCUGUGGUAUUCCGCAGGGCAUGCCUGUUCGAGCGUCAUUUCAACCCUCAAGCCUCGCUUGGUGUUGGGCCCUGCCCGCCGCGGCCGGCCCUAAAGACAGUGGCGGCGCCGCCUGGCCCUCAGCGUAGUACAGCUCUCGCUCCAGGGUCCGGCGGCAGCCUGCCAGAACCCCCCAACUCUGUGGUUGACCUCGGAUCAGGUAGGGAUACCCGCUGAACUUAAGCAUAUCAAUAAGCGGAGGA